CCUCACUGCAGUGGUUCUGAGCUUCAGCAGGCAUAGAGGAGCAUCAGCUGAGUGGGGCUGGUACCAGGGAACUGGAAAGCUUCUUGGGAAAGGCUCUGAGUCAGACCCUGAAGCUACUAUACCUGCUAAGGUGGAAGUACAUAUUCCCCUGAGCCCUCAGUUGACUGGUCUGGUACUGCCUGUAACUCAUGGCUGACCUGGACCAAGAGACCUUCUGUCACUACAGUGCCAUUUAGCAAGAAGGCUGGUGAUAAAAGCAUUGUGGGAAAGACCACUUGAGAAGUGACCCAUCACGGAGCUAAGAAGGCUGAAAUCUGGGCAUGCCAUUCCAACUGUCUGUUCUUCCUGGGUCC
rnacentral:lncRNA from 1 species